GGGCGGAUGGCACAGUGGUAGCGCGCUUGCUUCGCAUGCUCAUGAUAAUGUAGUGACUUCGUUGCAUGAGGUCGUGGGUUCAAACCCCACUUCGUCCA